rnacentral:rRNA from 1 species
AUUGAACGCUAGCGAGAUGCUUUACACAUGCAAGUCGAACGGAGUGGCGGACGGGUGAGUAAUCUUUCGGCACGUUCCCAGUAGCGGGGGAUAACUCCUCGAAACAGUGGCUGAUCCCGCAUCCUAUUCGAGCGCACGAUACCGGAUUAGCUAGUUGGUGGGGUAAAGGCUCACCAAGGCAACGAUCCGGAGCUGGUUUGAGAGGACGACCAGCCACACUGGGACGUAGACACGGCACAGACUCCUACGGGAGGCAGCAGUGGGGAAUUUUGGACAAUGGGGGAAACCCUGAUCCAGCCAUCCCGCGUGUAUGAUGAAGGCCUUCGGGUUGUAAAGUACUUUUGGCAGAGAAGCGGUAUCUGCAGAAUAAGCACCGGCUAACUACGUGCCAGCAGCCGCGGUAAUUC